UACAGAGGUCCCAAGCGUUGUUCGGAUUCACUGGGCGUAAAGGGUGCGUAGGCGGUCGGGUAAGUCUGAUGUGAAAUCUCACAGCUUAACUGUGAAACUGCAUUGGAUACUAUUCGGCUUGAGAGUUGGAGGGGGGACUGGAAUUCUUGGUGUAGCAGUGAAAUGCGUAGAUAUCAAGAGGAACACCAGUGGCGAAGGCGAGUCCCUGGACAACUUCUGACGCUGAUGCGCGAAAGCCAGGGGAGCAAACGGG
rnacentral:rRNA from 1 species